AUGAUCAGACUACCACUAUCUCAAGACACGGUGGGGAGGAGUAAAGCCGGAGAGCGCUCUUGGCAGUGGUUUGGUUUGGUUUGGUUUGUGAGACCCCUUCUGUUCUCAAGGAAACGGGGAGCUUGCGCGGAGCAGGCUCGGCUCCGGCUCCCGCUCCCGCCGCGGGCUCCUCCGCCGCGGCUCGGCCCCGCUCCUGUGCAGGGCCCCUUCCCUCGGGGCCGGCCGCCGCCGGGCAGCGCCGCUUCCCCGCUGCGCCCCAGCGCCCAGGGUCGCGGCACAACCCGACCGCGCUUCCGCGGCGCCGCCCCGCACUCACCCUGCGCGCCCCCUCCAGGGCCAGCCCGCAGUAGCGCUGCGCGGUCUCCCGGAGGCCCAGCCACAAGCUGGCGGUGGCGACGUCCAAGGCAUCCCCGCGGCCGCCGGCAGCCAUCUUACUGCGGCAAGGGGCAGCGCAGGGCCCGCCACCACCGCCGGCGCUUGACAACCGGCCUGUACCACUGCCGGGGGGCGGGAAGAAACCACUGCUGCUGGGGGGGGGGUAGCAGCCACAGGUGGCGAGCAUCCGGGACGGCCCGAGGGGGCGGCGGGCUGUACCACUGCCACAAGGGGGGGGUGCAGCAGCACGGCCAGGGGCACGGAGCGGGAGAUACCACUGCCGGGGGAGGGGGGAGCGCGGCGCCCGCGCGGGGCCUGCGGCGGGAGCGGGCCCGGGCUCCCCGCCCAGCUCCGACCGAAAGCCGGUGGCGGGGACCAGGGAAGGGGGCGCCUCGGGCAGCCGGGUCCGAGCUGCGGGAAAAGCGUAGGCGGAGCGGCAGGUGCACCUCACGGGGCCGCUCUGCGCCGGGGUGCCCAGGCCCGGCCCGGCCCGGCGGGGCGCCCAGGCCCCGGCAGCACCUGCAGCGGGUCCCCGCGACCUGCCGCGCUGGGCAUCGGCGCCCCGGCACAAACGGGCGCCUCUGCCCGCGGAGCGGGCGAGACCCAAGGACGGGGCAGCGGAGGCACCCGCAGCCCUCGCGCCGCCGCUUUGCACUGGCGUGGGCCGAGCGGUUACGAAACUAG
rnacentral:lncRNA from 1 species